UACGUAGGGUGCGAGCGUUGUCCGGAAUUAUUGGGCGUAAAGAGCUCGUAGGCGGUGUGUCACGUCGGCCGUGAAAACCUGCAGCUCAACUGCAGGCUUGCGGUCGAUACGGGCAGGCUAGAGUUCGGUAGGGGAGACUGGAAUUCCUGGUGUAGCGGUGAAAUGCGCAGAUAUCAGGAGGAACACCGGUGGCGAAGGCGGGUCUCUGGGCCGAAACUGACGCUGAGGAGCGAAAGCGUGGGGAGCAAACAGG
rnacentral:rRNA from 1 species